UUCACUUUACCUGCAUCACCAUCACCAAUUCUGGCACAAGGAGACAGCGAAUAGUUUGCUGCUGCAGGUGUGUGUUGGGUUAACCUGAACGACCCAAUCCGAAUAAUGGCUUCUCAAUCCCUUCGUCAGUACGACCAGAACCGAGCCAGACUAGAAGACACACAAAACAUGAAACACUAUGGGCACAAUAAAAAUGGUGUUAGUUCAAGGCCCCCCAGUCUCAGCUCUGCCUCCC